UGGGGAAAAGUGCAUAGAAAGUGCUGGGU
rnacentral:piRNA from 1 species